UAAUGUCAAAUUUUUGUUGAUUUUUCCUUGGUAUUCAGUCUUGUUGAAUUAUCUAGCUUCUUGAAAUUAUUACAAAGAGUUAGCAGACUAUUCUGCAUUGUAAGAUACUCUGUUCUGAGCUUAGAAAAAUACUUGUCCCAACUGUAUAAACAAUGAAAAAGAAACAGGUGUGCGGCAGUAUACUUAUUGUAUCUGGAAUACAUGCAUUGAGUUCUCUUUACAUUCUUCUUGUGGGGACUAAGAUCGCAGAAAAUGGAGGUACUGAAGGAAAGCAUGGUGUAAGAUCAUCCAAUUUUCUGACCUUCUUAAACUGUGGAAAUUUCUGUUCGGUUCUUUUGCUACUCUGUUUGAUAUGCCUUGUCCAUUUCAGGAGACUAAAUUAUUAUUUUCACAUCCCCAAAGAACAUUUUAACUGGCAUAUGUUCUGCUUGAAUUGAUGGGAGGUCAACUAGUCUUUUCACAGGUUGGGAAAAUUAUGUAUCUCCUUUGAUUAGCAAAAUUAUUGAUAAUUUUUAGUGGUUAAAAUGUCAUGCUACUUCUAGGAGGGCAGUUUCAUAAAUUAUCUAAAUUUGUUUUCUAUCGAGCUGACUUGUCAAUACUCCUCAGGAUUUACAUCCCUAUAAUUUCUGUUGCUUGUUCAUAGGGAUCAAUUAAGUAUGUCCAUGGUAACCUGUCUGAAGCAUGCAGGAAGGCCAGAGAGACUGAUAUAUUUCAGUAAGUCCUUCUCGUGCUAUUGCCUAAAAGCUUGUGUAUAUUCUCAAAUAUUACCGUAAUGCUUUGGAAAUCCAUGGGACUGUGCAUUUAGGGUCUUUUCUCCUGACGCUAUCUUUCCAUGAUGUAUGUUACUGCGGAGGAGUAAUUUAUGCACAUAUGAGUUCAGUCGAUCAACAAUUCUUUCUCCCAGUCUACACAUCAUGAGCCCCACCUCCCAUAGUACAUAUUAUAGUUCAGACUUCUGAUAUAACACUUUUUCCAUGAUUUUAUGCUUCAUCUAGUUGUACUUGUCAAGUGAUGACAUUUGGUUCCAAAACUUGCUUUAUUCUUUGGCAAAUCUUUUAUGCUAAGAUGUUAAGAUGAUACAUUAUUCUUUCUUCUCCUUUACAUCCUGCAAAUUUGAACCAAUGUGAUUCUGGAUAUUUGCUGUAUCUACUAUUUUCAUUUUUGGGGCUUGAGGAGAUGCAAAUCAUUGCAUGGCAAAAUCUUUAGGGCUAUACAGAUCUUGGGAGAAAUAAUUUACCGACGUGAAAGUAUACAAUUAAUCAUCUUUCAACCCUAAAUGCCUGACAAGAUGGUCAACUUUUCUCAUCUUUUUAAAAAGAAAAUGGUGUAAUUCAAAACAAUGUCAUUCUAGUGAGGUAUAUCAUGGAAUUGGGAUUGCUUAAGCAUUGCAUGCUCAAGUAAAUGAAAUAGUUUUUGUGUUUCAACUAUGUAACUACUGGAAAAACUUGGGGAGCACACACCUGAGUGCAAGCACAACCUUGUUACUGCAGAGUCAAAGCUACAUGGUCAUCAUGGAGUUGAGACACUGCAAUAAGGAAUGCAAGAGUUUUGAUAAAGCAACCUGAUAUACGGUAUACAGGAACAUGCAUGUUUAGUGUAUUAACCAUAUGGGUUGUACAUAGUGCAUGCUGCGAGAAAGAUGGACUGGUCACUUGAUAUAGAGUAUAUCCAGCAAUGGAAAAGAAAAAGUGUUUAAGUUGUUAACAAGCACACAUAAAAUAUUAAAAUGCAUCAGUAGAUAGUGGCCUAGGUGAUGGGUCUAAAGAUAUAUAUAUAUAUAUAUAUAUAUAUAUAUAUAUAUAUAUANNNNNNNNNNNNNNNNNNNNGUAGUAGUAGUAGUAAUAUAUAUAUAUAUAUAUAUAUAUAUAUAUAUAUAUAUAUAUGAACCUUGAGAGUGCAUCACUGCCGAAGACUGGGAGCAUCUAAAGGCACUAAGGAGGCCAAUGAAUGGAAGCUAUGAUUUCUAGAUGCCGAUGAAGAUACAAAUAAACAUGGUAGCAAGAGGCAUUGUUUAGAAGCUGACCAUCACCAUGAUGGUACCUCAUGUUUAUGAGAGCAACCAAAAAGGAGUCUCUAUUUUCAUUAAGAUUUUUGAGGCUGACGGCUGACUGUCCGAGCAUCCUUGAAAUGCUGAGGUGGACGAUUUAAACCCAUAAGCUUGUAGUGAGAUGAAUAAUUUAACAAAGUUGAGUGUAAAGGGAGUAGCUUGACUGACCACAAAUUAGCUUGUCAGGCGCGUUUUAAUACUUCAAUAUUAGGUUACAGUCAAAUAUUUAAUACCAGAUUUACAGGCUACAGAGCUAACAUGAAACAAGACACAAAUAUUGACCACGUGAAGCGGGGAAGAAAGUAACUCUUGUGGAAGAGAUCUUUAAAUGCUGAUAGGGGAAUGAAGAAGGACAAGGUUUAGAAGCUGAUGUGGCAUGGAGGCAGCUAGAUGGUCCCAAGGUCAGGAGAACCUCAAGGAAAUGGAACAAGGGCUGCAAAUUUAGGUCAAAAACCUGGUGCAAGUAUGGUUGGGGAAGUGAUGAUACAUGUUGCUUCUAUAUAAUUGUAGAUAUGAUGGAAAAAAAAGGCUCUUCAAUGUGAAAAUUAGCAGCUUGAUUUUGGGUUCUGCACCAAAUCAUCUGCUGGAUUAAUAUUUCAAGUUGCGGAAACUAUCAUUUCCAAGUUAUUCUGUAAGUUGCAAGAGGAUUUCAUUGGUAAUGCAGAUCUACCACAUAACUUGUUGAUUCAUUUUGCCAAUAGUGAAGAUAGAACCCUAGAUAUUGAUUUCGAAGUUAAUGCAAGAAAGGGAAGCAUAUGUGUUGAAGAAGGUCUUGGAUAAAAAUAUUUUAAACCUGAAGAACCGGAUAAUGGUUAGACAUAAAAACCCAUGAGAUCUAAGGGACUUGAGCUAAAAUAAUAAGGUUCUGGUUUUCUGGUAAAGUAAAUAAUUUAAAUAUAUGGAUUAUAAUUUGGUCAAGCUACUUUAGAGUUUAACCUUUGGGAAUGUUGGCAAUGGGCAUUUGAGGAAACUCAGUGAUAAAAUGGACUUGCUGGAUAGUGUACUGAUCGUGAAGAGAAGAAUAGGGAAGGUAACUUCAAUCUAGGAGAUGGUUUUGAUUAUAAUGAUGAAUUAUUGUUGGCUCUAGGUAGAUAUGUGAAAUUCCUAUGAAAUCUAUACAAUUAUGGUAGAAAGAGUGCUAACCAUUGCAUAUUAAUAAAAAGGUUUGACUCAGCAAGUCACCACCCUUAAAAUCUCAGGGUAAUCACAUGGGGUUAAAGUAGCACGCAGACUCAUCACUAUGUAUAUUGAAAAAUUUGUUUAAAUUCAAAUCGAAUCCUCAGAGUUCAUUUAAAUUUAUCACUCAAGUCAAUAGUUUUAAAGUCAAUAGUUUACUUAAUUGUCAUGAAAAUAAACUUGAGAAAUCAAAAAUAGAAUGCAUCACACAAAUAAGGCUUCUUUAGAAAAGAGCUCUAAUCCACUCCUACAAUUCACAACUUAACAAAAGCGUUGUACUAAUAUGACAUCCCAACUUAAUCAGCUCAUUUUAAGAGGCGUAAAAAUUAAUUUCAUAAUAAUAUACAUAAAAUCUGAAAUAUACCUUUAGCAAAAUCUAAAGUUCUUCUCUCAUGGUCAAACUAUUCCAAGAUUUCAAAUAGCGUACUUGCUUCUCUUGUUCUAUUCUCCUUGAACUUGAUCAUGUAUUCAUUGUAUCUCUUAAUUUGGAUUUUUGUCCAAGAGAAAAAAAAGAAAAAGAUGAAUUAGCGAUCAUCCGUAAAAUUGCAAAUAUCCUUUUAAUUUUGCUCUAAUGAUAUGUCUUAAAACAAAUCAAGGACUGUCAAACCGUCCCAAAUCAAAUGGGUCCGGGGCAUACCAAAUCAGACCGGUCGGUUAUCAAAAAGGUUCGGCCAGUUGAUCCAGUUUUUGAACCAAAUCCUUUUUUAGUUAAAACCCUUCCCAGCGGCCUGAUCUUCUCCCUCUCUCUUGAUUCUCCUCUCCCCUCCUCUCUCUCGAUGCUUCGUGGUGACGAUGGCUCCGCAAUGAUGACGAUACUAGGGUUAGGGUUCUACAACAAAGAUGGCUCCAUAUCUAGGGUCGGUAGGCCUCUUUCUCUGUCUUCUCCUAUCUCUUCCUUUCUCUUCCUCCGUCUCCUUCUCACUUUCCCUCCUCUCUCUUUCCCUCCCUUGGUUCUGCUAUGCCUCGGCUCGGUAUAGUACAUACAUAGUAUCAUACCAAACCAGUCGUCGAUUGGUACAAUGCCUAGUACCAAUUUGGUAAACCUAGGAUCGAACAUUUCCAAAUGGCUCUUUUUGUACUUGUGAUAAUCUUUCUUCCUAUAAUGACAUUUUCCUUUGAAAUUUAUCCAUCACCUUGAUACUUAUGUUAGUUUAUGUUAGUUCCUCUUGAAAUUCUCGAAUUAGGAUUGGAUUAAGCCUGCUUGUAUUUCUUCUUUUGGAUUUCCAGUUCUAUGUAAGCCUGUCUUCUUUCAUGUUUUGAAUUUUAAGCAUGUAGAAUCUCAGGUUUACAUUUAUUUGAGUACCGGGGAUCAUUUUUGCCCCUUCAUGGUGACCCUCAUUUCUUUCCUAUCAUUAUAAGUGUUUCCAAUAUAGCUUUGCAGCAAAUUCCCACCUUUUGGUUCCUAUUCUACUGUUUCUUCUCAUUUUACAUAUGUGACCCCCCCCCCCCCUUCUCUUUGCAUUUUAAAUUCUUGUCACUUAUUAUAUAUUUUAUAAUUACUAAUCCGAUGCUCUUCAACAUACUCAUACUUUAGCACUGCAACCCCCAUAUGGGUGCAAUUGUGGACUAUGGUGGAAUUUGCCAACCCAAGGCUGGCCUGGUUUGGACAAUUUGUCCAAUCCUGCCCAUAGUUUGAGUUUGGCUCAGAUUGGCCUGCCCAAAUUGCAGCCGUAGAUGAGAUUUGGUGAUGGACAGCUUCCACUUAUAGAUAUAAUUUGGUGUUGCAAUACAUGUCCUGUUACCCGCACCCAAUUCUCGGGGCAGGAUUGGACACAUAUCUUAAGAUCCAUUUAGUGGAGUCUUUGUGUCUUAAGAUCUGGAGAUAAGAUGGAUCUGCUUUUGAGACACACACCCCCACCUGACACCCAUACCAAACACAUAUAACAAAGUAUGCCUAUGCUUAUUGUCUUUGAAGAUCAUGGAUGACAUUUUAAUUCAUGGUCCUUAUACAAGCCACUUGAUAUUUUUUUGUUUUUUCUUUUUGGUAUUACAGAGGGUGAUUCAGACAGCCUCUCAGUCUUAUGUUUGAAGGAUAGUUUUUUAUUAUGCUGUUAUAAAUUCCUUUUUUUCACUUACGUGUAUAUAUCCAACAUAUUGGUCUUUGUUUCAACUGCAUGGCCAUCUUUAAGCCAUGAAGCACCCAGGAAUAUGGUAAUAUAAUAAUGUUAAUAAGGCAUUGAGAUUGUGAUUCAUGCACAAUCCUCUUAUUAGUUGUAUUAACGCACGAGAAUCUGGUGCUGAGUGCAAAGCACAAAAAGCACGUUGUUUGUGAGUCAUGUCCUAUUCCUACAAGCAUUUUCCUCAACAAACUAAGGGACUUAUCCAUAUGCUUGCUUCCAAAUGAUGUAGAACAUCAUCUGGUAGGUGUGGUUUUGUGGAAAGUCUAUGAGGUAAUUGAUGACCUUGUUGAAGGCAAGAUAAACUCUGCUAGUGAUAGUUCACUGCUUCUGUUUGAUUCAUCCUGCUGUUUGGCCAUGCUUUCUUGGUCUAUAUGUGGGUGGCAUGUGGAGUAUUUUGCUCUCUUUGCAGAUGGCAGGUGUAACUAUUGGUCACUUUUUCACUGUUAUUUGGGUUGGUUCUUGGUUUCCCUGCAAUUUGCUUUGCCAGUUGUAUAUGUUUAUAUGCGUUGACUGUUUCUGUUUCCUGACAGUGUGAGUUUGGUAGAUCUAUGCAUCACUUGUGACUCCUUGUUUCUGCUAUCACUUUGAAUUUUCUGGGAUCUCUUAUUUUUUUUAAAUGUACUUUUGCUUCAUUUCAUUUUCUUCUUAUUAUCACUACCUUUUAACUCUUAUGUUUUCUUUUAUUUUUCCAUAAAGAAUGGUUUCACUUGAAAUAUCAAGAAAAUGAACCCGUUGUUUCAGUUAAAAUGUCAAGAAUAUGAGCCCACUAAUACACCCCAAGGAAUCCAUUUUUAUAUUUUCCAUGAAAUUAUGUGCCUAGGCAUCCUGUCUGAUAUAAAAGGACAAUUUUGAAAACUAGAACAUGGGCAGAGUUUGGGGGCUUAGUUGAAGAUCAAAGCUCGGCAUGAUUUCUAAUGUCAACGAUGCUUAUGUUUUAUAUUCAUACAUAUUCGAGGCUUGCAGGUUAACCAAAAGGGAUGAUUAUACACAAGAUGAGUGUUCCAAACACACAGACAUUAAGGUGGAUGUCUGAUGACUCUGAAACAAACACUUGAGCAGAAUGAACUGAUUGAGAUAGAGUUGGACGUCAAGGAGCCAUAGAAUUGCACCAUUAUGGCAAUGGAGUGGUGCAAAAUUUGUUCUCAUAUGGAAGGUUGGGAAGUAGGGAAUGACAUACCUAAGAAUAUCUAAAUGGAUUACUUUUGAAAACGAUUUGAGAAUGCUUCUUUUGAUGAUUUAGCCUUUGAGAAAAAGGGUAAAAAGGGUUAAAAAAUGAUUCCAAGAAUGUUAUGGUAUGUUGAUCAUAUUUAGCAUGUAAUAUUUAUAUAUGCUUUCUAGAAGCUUACCUCAUCUGGUGGUGUUUUAACCAAAAAUCAGAUUGAAGUGACUAAGGAUAGAGAUUUUCGUUCAGAAGGUUGCUUCUAUUUGUUGGUUGUUGAGCUGCUCAUUGGCAACUACAGUUCUCAUACAUAUGUGGGCUAUUCCUUCUUGUGGACAACCAAUUACAAGCAUUUACAAAUAUUCACUUUUACAUCUGCAUGUCGUAAUAGACAUUAUUAAGAGAAUAAAUAGGUAAAGAUAAUUUCCUUGAUAAGAUCUCUUUCGCCAUUGAUGGCAUCAAAUGGGUUACUCACAGGUGUGAUGUACAAUUUUGUCCAACAGUCUUUCUGAAAGGUUUGUAUUAAGGGAUGCUAAACCGGCCGGUACGGGCCGGUUCAGCCCAUAUUGAACUAGUCUGGUCUCUGACCGAUCCAGUUCGGCGCUAAAAAAGGUAUCGGCCCGUAUAGGCCGAUACUGGCUAGGAACCGGUGCGAACUGGUCGGUUCGAUCGGUUCCAAAUUUUUUUGGAUGUGUGAAUCAGGCCAAACCAGUGGUAUCAGCUCGGUUCAGUCCUAUCAGUACCGGUUCGGCUCGGUCUGUAUCGGUGCCGAACCGGUCCGGCGGCGGACCGGUAUACCUACCGAUACCAAUUCGGCAAUCCUUGGUUUGUAUACAUGCUUGCUGCCUGAAAUGAAGAUAUCAGUGAAAAUACUUGCUUUUGGAAGUGAUAAUUUUUUUGGGGAAGAGAAUUUUGAACUUCAUGUUCAGAGAAAAAUUGUAAAAGCUUGAUUGCAAGUAUUUGCUCAAUUUUUGUCCGACUACUCCUUUUCAUGUAUUAUACUUUUUAUGGCCAUUAUAUAUGUAAUAGCAUUGGACUUGUGGGAUAUGAGCAGGGGUUGCGUAGUGUCGUACACUACUCAAAAUGUGUGUGGAAAGACAGAAAAGUUCAAUAUGCCGGAAUCAUCUUAAACUCAGAUGCCACUUUAUUCGUUCCCUUAAGCAAAAAUUAAAUCCUCUUGGUUGUGUGGAGAAAAUUAAAAGGCAUGUAUAAUGGAGAUGAACUUCAACAUCUAGCUUAAGAGGUGAUAUGAGAUAGUGGGUGUUUCCUUUUUGGUUACUAAAGGCAUUAGUCACCGGAAAGGUUCUACCUGAAAAGAACUUGGUAUGAAGAUGGAAAUAGCUAUUGAAAUGAGAGACAAAGGUAUUUGAAUGGUGGCAAACUUAAGGAUUGCCAUCUUUGGAUAAAGAUAUGUUGUUUCCAGUAGUGAUGGUGACACGGUGACUUUCGAAGCUAAUGCAGGCCAGGGCUACCGCCUGAGGAUAGUAGGCCCAUGUGCUUAAGGGACUUACACUUGCAAUCAUAGUCGACGAAACCCUCCCAAACCGCUCGGUUCGGGGUGUCCCGAGCCGUACUGGCAGCAGACCAGGAUGGAGGGGGAGAAGAAGGAAAAGAGAAAAAGAGAGAGAGAGAGCCCCUGCCCUCCAUUGGCAGAGUUUCUCUGCCGGCAUCCCCCUUUUCUCUUUUUUUCUCUCUCCCAUUCUCCCCUCUUCUACUCUGUCGAUACAGGGACGACAUGGCACGGCGUGAGGCCGUACCAACCCGUGCCACUGGGCAAUCGGUCCGGGGUCUGGUACCGGUACCGGCACAACAGAUGUUGCUUGCAAUAGGCUAUAUCAGAUACCUGCAUGCCCAGGCUAGGGUUUUUAUCAUUUAAGAGGAGAAAAGGGUUUGGGGGGGGGGUGGGGGGGGGAGUGAAACAAGAUUUUUAGGGUCAAAAAAAAGGAGAAAGGGAGAUGAAGUAGAGGACAAGGAAGGCUAAGGCUUCCUACCUUCAGGAACCUUUCACCACUGGCUUCGCAGACCUUUCUUUCAAUAAACAUUAAUAAAACAUUAAUAUUUAUGACAAUCCUUAAUCAAACCUGUGUAGUAUCCUUGCCCCUAUAGUACAUUAUCAUACUGUUAGCUUUCUCCCUCAGAAGGCACCUUCCAACAAGAAUGUCUCCACAUACCUCCUUAGGCUGUUUUUCCAUCUCCUCUGACAUUUAUUUCCACCCCAUGAUGAUAGGAACAAUGCUAAACUUUGAAAUUGACAGAACAUAUAUUAAUUGCAUCAUGACUUUUUGUUUCAAAAAACCCUCAUAUUUUAGGCUUGUGGAGAUAUGGUCAUUCAGCCAGGUGACAUUUCUGGUUUUGCUGUGUAAAAUAUGAAGGGCAAUGACCAUGGGCUUGGAGUUGCAAACAUUUUAAACUUGUAUUUUCAUGACCUGCAUGUGUGUCUUAAAAGGUUCUAUUAUCUUUUUGAGUUAAUAUGCAGUGAUUGGCCUGCCCUGCCUUUAGCAAUUGGAACUCUGUGACAUGUUUCUUCUAUGAUCUUUUGUUUCUAGGUUCAAGAUUUUGUCCUAUGGAGUGUGGACAAAUGCCAUGAGUGAGACAUGGUGUGCUCAGAGCAUACAUGUUGGUGUAGUCUGUAGUGUUCUAAGGACCUAUAGAGCUACCGGUUCUGUUAAUAUCUACAUAGGCUUUUUUACUCUGAUUAAGUCCCUUAACUCUUUUCAUUAGACAUACAGCUAGUUAUAUGUUCAUGCAAGUAAUUGGAGGCCUGCAUUGUGAACUCCAGUUUGGAAGUUUAACUUCAAAUGCACUAACCAUCUUUUCUAAUAUUUUUCUUCCUCUUAAUAUUUCUUGUGCUCUGGGUAGCUGCCAGUGGACAUUCUGGUCCUGAACCUCCUAUUGAAUGCUACCACUUUACGAAGAGGGCUUGUAUCUUGGGAGAGGAUCGGCAGCAACUUACUGUGCCAGGUUACAAUCUUCUACCGUCAUGCCUUGAAUACCAGAGGAUAAUCGUGAUCCUUCUUAGAGAUUAUCCUAAACUGUAUGCAGAAAUCUCCAGUUCUAGCUUUCCCGCAUGCUUCAAUGUCAAAUUAUACGAGUUCAGAUUGAUUAUUAUUUUGUCAUAAGGGCCAACAUUUGUAUCAUUAUGAGUUUCCAGGAUUUUAAAACUCCAGUCCCACCAAGACCAUUGAAAUCUCAGAGACAGACAAGGAUGCAAACAGAAAAGACAAUCUAGCAAUAAUAUGUAAGAAUCGGAUGGCAAAUCAAGAUAUUCAAGUGAAAAAAGAUGCUCUUCUCGAGGUAUUUUUUUAAUAUUUUCCACAAUUUUUUGCCUUCAUCUUAGUUCAAUGUUGUGUAUUAGCCAUUAUAACGAUGUUGUAACAGCUGCUUACAUAUUAUUAAUUGUCAUUCCCUUGGGCACAACAAGCGGAGUCAUGGUCACCAAAACACGGACAUCUCACCGGUGCCACAUAUUCUUUGCCGACGGACUCCAUGGCCAGGCCUACUGUGAAAUAUCAGUGUCUCAAAAUUAAUAAUGGGCCUCCUUGCGAGGGACCCUUCGCUUGUUUUGUUGACAAAUUAUGAGAUGGUGGACCACCUGCACAAGUUAGAUUUAAUAGGAGCCAAAAAAAGGUCAUACGGGCUGAGUUGAUAUCAUACAGAAGGUAGGAAGAAAGAGAGUUUUUGUUUGUCUUGAACUGUAAGAAAAUAUAAGCCCGGCUUAUCUGUCUAUUGUUUAUAGUAUAGAGGGCAAGAGAUUCUAUGUUAGCAGGACAGCUUGAGAGGGAAGUGUUUGAGGUGGAAAGUGACAGAAUACCAAAAGAAAAUGUUUUCCAUGAUUGGCCUGCAAGGGAGUUGAAUGUGGCAGGAGGUAUAGUGAAAUAGACUUCACCCACGCCUAAAGCAAACCAAUAGCCACUUACUCUCCACCCCUCUCCCUCCUAUUUCCCCACCCUCACUCAUCCUUCACCCCAUCGAUGAAACAAUAACACCUCCCACUCCUCCAUAUGGGGUGGCUUCAGUACCUCAUCUCCCCACUGAAGAAGCUGUGGCUUCGCAUGCAUUCUGCUCACAGGAAGAGUAUGUUCAGCUGCACUCCAAGUUAUCUAUAAUGUUUAGCAUCUUGCCAUUCUGGUGUCAUGUUCUUCUGUAUCCUAUUCUUUUGAUAUCAGCUUUGGAUAAUCGCAUUUGCACUGUCUCCAUUCUCCAAUCGUACUUCCUCUUGCUCUUAAUGCACCAUGCAAAUCCUCUUCUAGCAUGCUAUGCUAUCAGUGGAAAACCUUUUAGAUUCUGUUUAUGCAUUUUACUGUUCUCUUAUUCUUUUGUGGUUAGCUGCUCUUUUCUUGUUCUAUUUUUCUUUUAGGUAAUCUAUGGUUAGCUUUUCUAAUAAUCACUGUUUCUUGCACCCAUUUACAUGGCCUAGCAAUCCUCUAAUGUUGUUCUUGUUAUUGUUUUGAUAGAUAGAGGGAUAUACAUCCUCUAUGAGGAUGUGAAGUCAUGCCCAUACGAAGAUGUGCACGUCCUCUGGUCGAUCCUCGUGGAGUCGCACCCUCCGCCAUUGAGGUUGAAGCAAUGAGGGUUCAUGUGCUCGUAGAAAAGUGGAGCAGCUAAAAAGGAAAGGGACAAUGAGUGAGGUUCUGAUGUACAUAGAUACUUAUACACGCAUAUAGGUGUCGUUCGAGUUGCAUGUUAUGUAGCUUCCCAUGUUCGAUGAGUAAGAUUAAUGAGCUGCUUCUCAUAUGGCCCUAGUUCUUUCUCAUCAUGUCUAUUUGCUUACCAAAAGAAAAUUAGAAGUAUGACCUCAAUCUGUUGGAUGAGUGAGGGUGAUAUUUUGUACAUACGUGCACAUCAUACAAGAAAAAAAAAAGUGAAAAAAAGAAUAAAUAUGUCACAGGAUUUGGUAGAAGGCUUGUUCCUCUUCUUUUUUUAAAUGGGUGGUUUGUCCAUAGAAGGCUUGUUCCUCUUCAUUGUUCAAAUGGGUGGUUUGUCUAUUCUAGGUGGUUGGGGGUUGCAGGGAUUUCGUUUUCGUUUGCUUCAGUGGUUGCUUGAGGUAAGCGGCAAUAAUACACAAAGUGUGUACUAUUACUGCUCAUACGGCAUGCACGUGUUUAAGUCUUACGUCAUUCUGGGAAUAAAAUGUUGGGAGGUUGAGUUCUA
rnacentral:lncRNA from 1 species